rnacentral:rRNA from 1 species
UACGUAGGAGGCAAGCGUUGUCCGGAAUUACUGGGCGUAAAGCGCGUGUAGGUGGUGGGACAGUCUGCUGUGAAAGCGCCUGGCUUAACCGGGCGAGGUCGGCGGAAACUGUCCGACUAGAGGACGGUAGAGGGGGGUGGAAUUCCCGGUGUAGUGGUGAAAUGCGUAGAGAUCGGGAGGAACACCUGUGGCGAAGGCGGCCCCCUGGGCCGGCCCUGACACUGAGACGCGAAGCA